rnacentral:rRNA from 1 species
AAAUGUUGGGUUAAGUCCCGCAACGAGCGCAACCCUUAUCCUUUGUUGCCAGCGGUCCGGCCGGGAACUCAAAGGAGACUGCCAGUGAUAAACUGGAGGAAGGUGGGGAUGACGUCAAGUCAUCAUGGCCCUUACGACCAGGGCUACACACGUGCUACAAUGGCGCAUACAAAGAGAAGCGACCUCGCGAGAGCAAGCGGACCUCAUAAAGUGCGUCGUAGUCCGGAUUGGAGUCUGCAACUCGACUCCAUGAAGUCGGAAUCGCUAGUAAUCGUGGAUCAGAAUGCCACGGUGAAUACGUUCCCGGGCCUUGUACACACCGCCCGUCACACCAUGGGAGUGAGUUGCAAAAGAAGUAGGUAGCUUAACCUUCGGGAGGGCGCUUACCACUUUGUGAUUCAUGACUGGGGUGAAGUCGUAACAAGGUAACCGUAGGGGAACCUGCG